CAGCAGCCGCGGUAAUACGGAGGGUGCGAGCGUUGUUCGGAAUCACUGGGCGUAAAGCGCGUGUAGGCGGCCUUCUAAGUCUGGUGUGAAAGCCCGGGGCUCACCCCCGGAAGUGCACUGGAAACUGGGAGGCUUGAGUACCGGAGAGGAGGGUGGAAUUCCUGGUGUAGCGGUGAAAUGCGUAGAUAUCAGGAGGAACACCGGUGGCGAAGGCGGCCCUCUGGACGGAUACUGACGCUGAGACGCGAAAGCGUGGGGAGCAAACAGGAUUAGAUACCCUGGUAGUCCACGCCGUAAACUAUGGAAGCUAGCCGUCAGUCAGCUUGCUGAGUGGUGGCGCAGCUAACGCAUUAAGCUUCCCGCCUGGGGAGUACGGUCGCAAGAUUAAAACUCAAAGGAAUUGACGG
rnacentral:rRNA from 1 species